CGCUGGCGGCGUGCUUAACACAUGCAAGUCGAACGGAAAAGGCCCUGCUUGCAGGGUACUCGAGUGGCGAACGGGUGAGUAACACGUGGGUGAUCUGCCCUGCACUUCGGGAUAAGCCUGGGAAACUGGGUCUAAUACCGGAUAGGAGCCAUUUUUAGUGUGAUGGUUGGAAAGUUUUUUCGGUGUAGGAUGAGCUCGCGGCCUAUCAGCUUGUUGGUGGGGUAAUGGCCUACCAAGGCGGCGACGGGUAGCCGGCCUGAGAGGGUGGACGGCCACAUUGGGACUGAGAUACGGCCCAGACUCCUACGGGAGGCAGCAGGUGGGGAAUAUUGCACAAUGGGCGCAAGCCUGAUGCAGCGACGCCGCGUGGGGAUGACGGCCUUCGGGUUGUAAACUCCUUUCGCUAGGGACGAAGCUUUUUGUGACGGUACCUAGAUAAGAAGCACCGGCUAACUACGUG
rnacentral:rRNA from 1 species